rnacentral:rRNA from 1 species
AAAGGAAUAGACGGGGGCCCGCACAAGCGGAGGAGCAUGUGGUUUAAUUCGAUGAUACGCGAGGAACCUUACCCGGGCUCGAACGGUACAUGAAUUAUAUUGGAAACUGUAUAAGUCUUUCGGGACAUGUAUCGAGGUGCUGCAUGGUUGUCGUCAGCUCGUGCCGUGAGGUGUCAGGUUAAGUCCUAUAACGAGCGCAACCCCUAUAUUUAGUUACCAGCACGUAGUGGUGGGGACUCUAGAUAUACUGCCUACGCAAGUAGUGAGGAAGGUGGGGAUGACGUCAAAUCAGCACGGCCCUUAUGUCCGGGGCUACACACGUGCUACAAUGGUCAAAACAGCGGGCAGCUACUCAGUGAUGAGAUGCUAAUCCAUAAAAAUUGAUCACAGUUCGGAUCGAAGUCUGCAACUCGACUUCGUGAAGUUGGAUUCGCUAGUAAUCGCAUAUCAGCCAUGAUGCGGUGAAUACGUUCCCGGGCCUUGUACACACCGCCCGU